GCCGCAAUAGCUCAGUUGGUAGAGCAUCGCUUUCGUAAAGCGGGGGUCGGGGGUUCGAAUCCCUCUUGCGGCACCA
rnacentral:tRNA from 1 species